CAUGGUUCCACAGAUCUCGUCAGGGAAAGCAAGUGACAGAAGAAAGAAUUGCCAAAUUUCAUAAGAGAACACAUAUGGACUUCAUGGAAAAAGGAAUGACAGUUUCCUGGUAUUGAUAAUAGUCCCUUAAAGUGGAUUGAGAUGAAAGACACUGGUUUCUGUACCAGCAUUGAAUGUACAGCAAAUGGACCCCUGUAUAAAGGUGAUCAAGGCCUGAGCCCGGCCUCUCAGUCUCCAGGAUGAAGUAUGGUGGUCACUCACUGCUGGUUCCUUCUUCCAGUCAAUAAAAGCCGAUAUCUCGCCUUUACAUCUCAGGUGAAAAUGAAGAAUUCUGUGGAGACAGUUUUGACCUCCCUCCAACAAUGAAAAUUCAAUGGUCACAGCCCUCUGAUAAUAAAAGCUGAUAGUUAGAUAUAAAAAAUGUGGACUAUUUUCCAUGUGUCAGACAUCACCUUUAGCAACAGAUAUCAAUGAUGAGAUUUAGCAUUGCUUUCAGUACAACAGCACCGCUUUCGGUCAAUGAAGGAAGAGGGUAUUUGAGGCUCAAGAAUUCUAAGAUGGUAUGAAACUGAUCUGGUCUACUGAGCAGCAAUGACCUUUGCCCUCUCAAAUGCUCUCUGAGACCUUGGUUAACUAGACCAUGCACCUCACGGCACUGGAAAAAAGGGGGUAAUUGUUAUUAAGGUAAUGCUUUAGUCAAGGCAUGACUGUCUCAUCUUCAAAUACCCUGCAGCUAACUGAGGAAUAUCUUGACAUCAGGUGCGAGGUGGACAUCCUGCUGAUAGAUGAGAUGACUCUAACUCAGCUAUCAUCUCACCACAGAAAGACUUAACAUUCUAUUGUUCUUUUGUAUUAUCUUAUUGAGCUUCUGAUGUUAUGUAACAAAAUUAAAUGGUAACCAUAGCCAGUUAUGUAAGAAUAAUUGAUGCCUGCAUCUGCUUUUAAGAAGCCAAUGUGAACUUGACUGACUAGGUUCCAGCACGCCCUAUGUACCCAUUUCACAGAGGUGGAGAUAAUAAAUUGGAUGAAGCUUGGUUGAAGGAAAGAGAAUCAUUGAUGGUUAUGUCAUUAAUAAUUAUUCCAUUUAAAGAAGGUUGCCGCAUGUUUGCAACUUCAUUUUUUGACUCCCAAAUUAAUGCAACAAAAUGUGGCCUACAGCACAUUGACCCACAAGGCUGCAUAACAAAGUGAACAGCAGUCCACCCUACUGAAAAAGUCCAGCAAUAUCUGCAUCUGGAAACUACUUCC